rnacentral:rRNA from 1 species
GACGAACGCUGGCGGCGUGCCUAAUACAUGCAAGUAGAACGCUGAAGAGAGGAGCUUACUCUUCUUGGAUGAGUUGCGAACGGGUGAGUAACGCGUAGGUAACCUGCCUUGUAGCGGGGGAUAACUAUUGGAAACGAUAGCUAAUACCGCAUAACAAUGGAUGACACAUGUCAUUUAUUUGAAAGGGGCAAUUGCUCCACUACAAGAUGGACCUGCGUUGUAUUAGCUAGUAGGUGAGGUAAUGGCUCACCUAGGCGACGAUACAUAGCCGACCUGAGAGGGUGAUCGGCCACACUGGGACUGAGACACGGCCCAGACUCCUACGGGAGGCAGCAGUAGGGAAUCUUCGGCAAUGGGGGCAACCCUGACCGAGCAACGCCGCGUGAGUGAAGAAGGUGUUCGGAUCGUAAAGCUCUGUUGUAAGUCAAGAACGGGUGUGAGAGUGGAAAGUUCACACUGUGACGGUAGCUUACCAGAAAGGGACGGCUAACUACGU